UACAGAGGGUGCAAGCGUUAAUCGGAAUUACUGGGCGUAAAGGGCGCGUAGGUGGAAUAAUAAGUUGGAUGUGAAAUCCCCGGGCUUAACCUGGGAACGCCAUCCAAAACUGUUGAUCUAGAGUAUAGUAGAGGGAAGUGGAAUUUCCGGUGUAGCGGUGAAAUGCGUAGAUAUCGGAAGGAACACCAGUGGCGAAGGCGGCUUCCUGGACUAAUACUGACACUGAGGCGCGAGAGCGUGGGGAGCAAACAGG
rnacentral:rRNA from 1 species